rnacentral:tRNA from 1 species
AUCUAAAUAGUUUAAAUAGAAUAAUAAUUUGUGGAGUUAUAGGUAUUAAUAAAUUUUAGAUC